UUAGGCUGUCUAUUGCCUCUUUAGAGUUUUAUUUUGAGUUAGUACUAAUAAAUUUAUAAUUUAAUUAUUAGGUGAUCGAGAUCAACUAUUUUCCUGCAUCCAGCAGCCACAAUAGUCGACGGUGUACUGCCACAGGAGGAGUUAUUUUACAGAGCAACCUGUUUUCUUCCUUGCAGGUUUAACGUCGGUUAUUUAAUUCUUUUAUUAUUUUUCAAAAUUUGAAAUCUAGAACUCCGCAUGUGUUAGUAAUAGUGUGAACCUUAUUAGGAAUCGUGUAAUUUAAAUUUUCCAGAUUAAUAAAUGAAGAUUUGUAUGGUAUUUAAA